rnacentral:rRNA from 1 species
UACGGAGGGGGCUAGCGUUGUUCGGAAUUACUGGGUGUAAAGCGCGCGUAGGCGGCUUUGUAAGUUAGAGGUGAAAGCCCAGGGCUCAACCCUGGAAUUGCCUUUAAGACUGCAUCGCUUGAAUCCAGGAGAGGUGAGUGGAAUUCCGAGUGUAGAGGUGAAAUUCGUAGAUAUUCGGAAGAACACCAGUGGCGAAGGCGGCUCACUGGACUGGUAUUGACGCUGAUGUGCGAAAGCGUGGGGAGCAAACAGG